ensembl:lncRNA
CGGGAAAAGAAUGAUAAUGAUGCAGUUCAGGUUGCUGUUGUACUCCUCUCCUGCUGCUGCACCCAGCCUUCCACCGCCUCUCCAGGCACCCCGCUCAGUUUCUGGUCAGUUUCAUCCCAGGUUUGGAGUGAGAGGGGUUGACAGCAGCGACUUUCGAGCAUUCUGAGUCAUUGGUCAGAAGUACAAUGGUCAAGUUUAUGAUUUCACCUUCCUUCUCUAGGAUUCAGUGGAGGUCAUUUUUAUCUUUGCUAACAUGCUUUUCUAACUUUCUCUUUCCUCACCGGUGUGCAGCUCUAAUUCUACACCUGAAUUUACUGUGUAUAUUACCAUUUAGGUAUGUCAGAUACUGUUUCUGUUGCCCCCCAAAUCAGUCCUGCCUAGCACCAGGUGUGCAUUUCUUUAACGGAGCAUGAGUAAGCUGUUUGCAGCCACAAGGUCUCCAGUACCAAGCCUGUGUCCCUUCCCAUUCUACGCCAAUACUCCUCUAGGGUACCUCCUAGGUCUUCCCUUCUCCAGGGCCUCUACUACCCUACCAGGCCUACAUCCCUCUACGCUACAUCCCUGUAGUUAGGGUGCGAACGACCCCAUUCUACCUACAAUCACAGCGAUGCAAAACUACGGCUGUACCCCACCAACAGCAGUCAGCCAGACCCCUGCUCCGCCGGCGACAUCACUGCUACAGCUGAACCAAGUCGAACGGCGGCGCAGGCAGGUCGGGCACGGCCAGCGGGACGAGCCUCCGCGGCGAGGCCUGGCAGAGGGGUGCACACCCCGCACCGCACGGCCAGCCACGGCGGCAGAGGGCACCGGGCUCCGCACCGCACUGCACCCCGCAGGACGCGCUGCGCUGCGCUGCCCGCCGCGGCGGCGCCAAGGUCGGCGGCAGGCGGCGGCCGGGGCGAUGCUGCCGGCCGGCACGGCUUCAGCCCCGCAGCGCCNCGCAGGCGGGGGAAGGGCGACACACACUUCCCACCCCAGAAGCCGGCCCCAGCCCCGCGCCCGUUCGCCCGAGCAGCUGGCGAAGGGCGAGACCGGCCCAGCCGCACGCGUUACCGUUGCCGGCAGCCACCGCUGGGGCAGGAGCGAGGUCCCAGGAGGCCGAAGCCCUGCCCUGGCCCAGCCCCGCUCCGGUCCGGCGAUCCGCACAGCCCCGCCGCCGGCCCUGCGGGAGCGCCCCGCCGCCUCACACCCGCGCCGACCCUCACCGCCCGGCGCGGCAACCCCCUCCCGGAAACAGCGCUGCUGCUGGGGCGAGCUCCCAUUGGUCCCUUCCCGUCACAACUUCCCGCCUCCUCGGUGCUGCGCGGGUGACGAUUGGUUACUCGCCGCUGUCAGUCGGGGAGGGCGAGCCCCGCCGCUGCCUGGGCUGCGCUCUCGUGGGGCGGGUGCUGCUGCCGGGCGCCGCGGCGGCUGGUGCGGCUGCGGGCGGAGCAGUGAUGCCGGCUGCGAGGCGGCGUAUGGCAGCGGGAGCCCGGCACGGAGCGGCGUGCGCCCAGGCGGGCGAGGGCGGCGAGCGCGGCCGGUUUAUCAAUAUACAGUCCAUGCUGGUCUCAUACGUGACAAGGAGGCAAGCAAACAGUGGAGAACGGCAGUAGAUAUGAUGCAGAUAAGCAAGAAAGAAAAAUUAAGGACAAAAAGACAGAGCAGUUUCUAAAAAAAUCAGAACUGUAGGAAGAGAGAAUCACAGACUCACAGAAUGGUUGGGGUUUGAAGGGACCUCUGGAGACCAUCUAGUCCAACCCUGUGCUAAAUCAGGUUCACCUACAGCAGGCUGUACAGAGUCACAUCCAGGUGGGUUUUAAAUGUCUCCAGGGUGGGAGACUCCACAACUUCUCU